rnacentral:rRNA from 1 species
GGGCCCGCACAAGCGGUGGAGCAUGUGGUUUAAUUCGAUGAUACGCGAGGAACCUUACCAGGGCUUAAAUGUAGUGGGACAGGUCUAGAGAUAGACCCUUCUUCGGACUCAUUACAAGGUGCUGCAUGGUUGUCGUCAGCUCGUGCCGUGAGAUGUUCGGUUAAGUCCGGCAACGAGCGCAACCCACAUCCCUAGUUGCCAGCGGGUAAUGCCGGGAACUCUAGCGAAACUGCCGGUGCAAACCGUGAGGAAGGUGGGGAUGACGUCAAAUCAUCACGGCCCUUACGUCCUGGGCUACACACGUGCUACAAUGGUCGGUACAGAGAGCAGCCACUACGCGAGUAGGAG